AUACGGAGGGGGUUAGCGUUGUUCGGAAUUACUGGGCGUAAAGCGUACGUAGGCGGACUGGAAAGUUGGGGGUGAAAUCCCGGGGCUCAACCCCGGAACUGCCUCCAAAACUUCCAAUCUAGAGAUCGAGAGAGGUGAGUGGAAUUCCAAGUGUAGAGGUGAAGUUCGUAGAUAUUUGGAGGAACACCAGUGGCGAAGGCGGCUCACUGGCUCGAUACUGACGCUGAGGUACGAAAGCGUGGGGAGCAAACAGGAUUAGAAACCCGUGUAGUCC
rnacentral:rRNA from 1 species